rnacentral:tRNA from 1 species
ACUCCCAUAGCUUAACGGUAGAGCAGUGAGCUUAUACCUCAUCACCACAGAUAAUGGACUGGUUCAGGUUCGAAUCCUGAUGGGAGUACCA